UACGUAGGUGGCAAGCGUUGUCCGGAUUUACUGGGCGUAAAGAGCGCGCAGGCGGUCGUGCAAGUCGCGUGUGAAAGCCCCCGGCUCAACUGGGGAGGGUCACGCGAUACUGUUCGACUCGAAGGCAGGAGAGGGAAGCAGAAUUCCCGGUGUAGUGGUGAAAUGCGUAGAUAUCGGGAGGAAUACCAGUGGCGAAGGCGGCUUCCUGGCCUGUUCUUGACGCUGAGGCGCGAAAGCUAGGGGAGCGAACAGG
rnacentral:rRNA from 1 species